AACGAACGCUGGCGGCAUGCCUAACACAUGCAAGUCGAACGAGACCUUCGGGUCUAGUGGCGCACGGGUGCGUAACGCGUGGGAACCUGCCCUUAGGUUCGGAAUAACUCCCCGAAAGGGGUGCUAAUACCGGAUAAUGUCUUCGGACCAAAGAUUUAUCGCCUUUGGAUGGGCCCGCGUUGGAUUAGCUAGUUGGUAGGGUAAAAGCCUACCAAGGCGACGAUCCAUAGCUGGUCUGAGAGGAUGAUCAGCCACACUGGGACUGAGACACGGCCCAGACCUCUUCGGGAGGGCGGAGGGGGGAAUUAUGGAACAGGGGGGAAAGGCCUAAUCAAGAAUUGCGGGGGGGGUAAGGAGGCCUUGGGGGUUGAAAACUUUUUUACCCGGGGAGGAAAAGGACGGACCGGGGAAAAUAAGCCCCGGCUACCCCGGUG
rnacentral:rRNA from 1 species